rnacentral:lncRNA from 1 species
UUGUAUUUAGUCUAUUCGAAUCUAUAUGAGUAAAUUUAACUCAAUUUAAUACAAUUCAUAUUCAAUUCAAUUCAAUUCAAUUCAAUUCACAUAUUAGGUAAAAUUACCAUUUUUCCCCAAUACUUUCAUUUAAUUACGAUUUCAUCCCUAGGCUCGAAAAAUGAAAUUCAUGCAACUUAAUCCUUAUUCCAAGCCUAACUAAUUUUUAC